ACCUAGCCCCGAUUGUAACGGCAUCCUUUUUUGUUAUUGCGUGGCUGAAUGUUUUUAUAAAUGGCUUCACUUUGUUCGCAAUAACAAAAAAGAUAUAGUGGAAAGCGGGAUUAAGC
rnacentral:sRNA from 1 species